rnacentral:rRNA from 1 species
AUUGAACGCUGGCGGCAGGCCUAACACAUGCAAGUCGAACGAGUGGCGGACGGGUGAGUAAUGUCUGGGAAACUGCCUGAUGGCGGGGGAUAACUCCUGGAAACGGUAGCUAAUACCGCAUACCAUCGGAUGUGCCCAGAUGGGAUUAGCUAGUAGGUGGGGUAAAGGGUCACCUAGGCGACGAUCCCUAGCUGGUCUGAGAGGAUGACAAGCAACAAUGUAAACGAGACACGGUCCAGACUCCUAAGGGAGGCAGAAGUGGGGAAUAUUGCACAAUGGGCGCAAGCCUGAUGCAGCCAUGCCGCGUGUAUGAGGGAGGCAUUCGGGUUGUAAAGUACUUUAAGCGGGGAGGCGUUACCCGCAGAAGAGGCACGGGCUAACUCCGUGCCAGCCGCCGCGGUAAUAC